CCCACAUAAAGGAUUAAUCUGGCCCCA
rnacentral:piRNA from 1 species